CCUGCGAGUCGAACAUUUCUUAACUAUGUAAGAAGUGUGGCAUACGGCUCAGUAACACGUGGUCAACCUACCCUAAAGACAUGGAUAACCCCGGGAAACUGGGAUUAAUAUAUGAUAGGUCAUUUUUCCUGGAAUCGGUUUAUGACUUAAAGGAUUGUUGAGCAAGUUUGAUUAAUUGCUUUAGGAUGGGACUGCGACCGAUCAGGUUGUUGGUGGGGUAAUGGCCUACCAAGCCGAUUACCGGUGCGGGCUUUGAGAGAAGGAGCCUGGAGAUGGACACUGAGAAAAGGGUCUAGGCCCUACGGGGCGCAGCAGGCGCGAAAACUUUGCAAUGUGCGAAAGCACGACAAGGUUAAUCCGAGUGCAACAUGCUGAAUGUAGCUUUUGGUAAAUGUAAAUAUUUUAUUGAAUAAGGGGAGGGAAAGUCUGGU
rnacentral:rRNA from 1 species